rnacentral:rRNA from 1 species
AGAGUUUGAUCCUGGCUCAGGACGAACGCUGGCGGCGUGCUUAACACAUGCAAGUCGAGCGGUAAGGCCCUUUCGGGGGUACACGAGCGGCGAACGGGUGAGUAACACGUGGGUGACCUGCCUUUAGCUUCGGGAUAAGCCUGGGAAACUGGGUCUAAUACCGGAUAGGACCUUCUCUCGCAUGGGGGUUGGUGGAAAGUUUUUUCGGCUAGAGAUGGGCCCGCGGCCUAUCAGCUUGUUGGUGGGGUGAUGGCCUACCAAGGCGACGACGGGUAGCCGGCCUGAGAGGGCGACCGGCCACACUGGGACUGAGAUACGGCCCAGACUCCUACGGGAGGCAGCAGUGGGGAAUAUUGCGCAAUGGGCGGAAGCCUGACGCAGCGACGCCGCGUGGGGGAUGACGGCCUUCGGGUUGUAAACCUCUUUCGCCAUCGACGAAGCCUUUGGGUGACGGUAGGUGGAGAAGAAGCACCGGCCAACUACGUGCCAGCAGCCGCGGUAACACGUAGGGUGCGAGCGUUGUCCGGAAUUAUUGGGCGUAAAGAGCUCGUAGGCGGUGUGUCGCGUCGGCCGUGAAAACUUACAGCUUAACUGUGAGCGUGCGGUCGAUACGGGCAUCACUUGAGUUCGGCAGGGGAGACUGGAAUUCCUGGUGUAGCGGUGAAAUGCGCAGAUAUCAGGAGGAACACCGGUGGCGAAGGCGGGUCUCUGGGCCGAUACUGACGCUGAGGAGCGAAAGCGUGGGGAGCGAACAGGAUUAGAUACCCUGGUAGUCCACGCCGUAAACGUUGGGCGCUAGGUGUGGGGAUCAUUCCACGGUCUCUGUGCCGCAGCUAACGCAUUAAGCGCCCCGCCUGGGGAGUACGGCCGCAAGGCUAAAACUCAAAGGAAUUGACGGGGCCCGCACAAGCGGCGGAGCAUGUGGAUUAAUUCGAUGCAACGCGAAGAACCUUACCUGGGUUUGACAUGCACUAGACGCGU